ensembl:misc_RNA
GUUAAAGGGUCUUCCUUCCAGGUCAGCUAGGAGAGGCGUGGCGGCGUCCCGGAACUUAAGUUAUGCUGGGCUGCGGCGCUGACUAACGACUGUUGGAUGCGGUUCUGGUGUUGGC